AGGAGUUGGCACUGUGUGGUAAUGUCUCUCUUCCUCUCUCUGCAGAAAAAAAGAUCGAUGGCCGGUCCUCCUCUGACAUCACGUCCGUUGUUCACCACUUCCUGCCUGGAACCCGUUCGACCAGCAGUUCAGCCAUCUUUGGUUAGAAGAAGACCUCCACCAUCCCCAUUAUUGGAUGUGAAAUUUGCCUUUAGUGAGAAAAGGUCCACAGUCAAAUGAAGACAAUGACCGCAUGAUUCACACCUAUAAUACCUCUGACGUCACUUCUGGGAUCGUUCCAAUUGGAUUUGUCUUAUCCUGACAUCCUGAAAACUGGAAGCUCCACCAUCUUUGUCAGUUUUGUCCUGCACUUACAUCUGGAAAGACCUCUCUACAAUUAUUGUGUGUUUUCUUUUGUUUUUUCAGUCUAAUUAUAUGGGUUUACCAGGUUGGUGCCCCAACUCUUUAUCAUUGCCCUCUUGUUUUUCUUAAAUCAUCCAUCUGUUCAUUUUCAGACUUUCCAGUUGUAAUUCAAGGAGACAGAGUAUAUCCUUCCAUCUUCUGAUGCAAGACAGCUCCCAACCCCAAAAUGACAGAAGUUACUGUAAAUUAUAUAUUUAAUUCUAAUAAAUGCAUUAACUUUUAGCAAUCACAUUAGAGGGUCAGCUCAUGUUGGAUGGUUAGGAGACAAAGUCAGA